rnacentral:rRNA from 1 species
AUUGAACGCUGGCGGCAGGCCUAACACAUGCAAGUCGAGCGAGUGGCGGACGGGUGAGUAAUGUCUGGGAAAAUGCCCGAGGGAGGGGGAUAACUACUGGAAACGGUAGCUAAUACCGCAUACCAUCAGAUGUGCCCAGAUGGGAUUAGCUAGUUGGUGGGGUAAAGGCUCACCUAGGCGACGAUCCCUAGCUGGUCUGAGCGGAUGACCAGCCACACUGGAACUGAGACACGGUCCAGACUCCGACGGGAGUCAGCAGUGGGGAAUAUUGCACAAUGGGCGCAAGCCUGAUGCAUCCAUGCCGCGUGUAUGAAGAAGGCCGUCGGGUUGUAAAGUACUUUCAGCUGGGAGGCGUUACCCGCAGAAGAAGCACCGGCUAACUCCGUGCCAGCAGCCGCGGUAAUUC